CACAUGACUCUCGGCAACGGAUAUCUCGGCUCUCGCAUCGAUGAAGAACGUAGCGAAAUGCGAUACCUGGUGUGAAUUGCAGAAUCCCGCGAACCAUCGAGUCUUUGAACGCAAGUUGCGCCUGAGGCCACCCGGUUGAGGGCACGCCUGCCUGGGCGUCACGC
rnacentral:rRNA from 1 species